rnacentral:lncRNA from 1 species
CAACGCACCACCACUCUCUCUCUCUGCUGCUGUUGAAGCUUGAAGGUUAGUUAGGAAUUGAAUACCCCCAAAUUGAAAAACCCCAAAUUGAAAACCUAAACCCCCAAAUUGAAAUGUGAAGUGAAGGGAAAUUAAAAACCCCAACUCUCUCUGUCUGCUGCUCUUGAAGCUUGAAAGUUAGGAAUUGAAAACCUAAACCCCCAAAUUGAAAUGUGAAGGGAAAUUGAAAACCCUAACGGCUAGUUUGCUACUAUUUUGUUUUGCUUUUCCUUUUGCUGAAUUUAGUUUGUGUAUAUGAAAUUGAAGUGAAAU